UCUUCUCAUGGCUGCAGGUGUCAUAGGUUCAUUAAAACCGUUCGUGUUAAGAGGAAAAGGUGCUUCUAAAGGUUUUUUUUCUGAAGCACUCCCAGGUUUUGGGUUAGUGACCUCGUCCCCACGUCACGGCCGAUCAAUACUUCGCUAAGCUUAUCACAAAACUGUUUGACUAAACCCCCUCUAGCUACAUAUAUGGAGGUUAAAGGAGAGCAGAAUGACCAGUCGUGACAGAGACCGCACUUGAUUCUCAAUUUCUUGCCGUCUGUGGAUCUCUGGAAGAGACGAUGGGUGGUUAUGAGAGCGUGUGAGUGUAUUAUAAAGGGUAUUGUGUGUUAGAGUGUUUUUUACUGCUCUCAGUAUUUCUACAGCAUGGAGGGUCACGUGGAUCAGUCAUCUUUACUGGAUAGGGUAUGUGCUCAAUAAUGGGAGGACCGUCUGUUGAAGAAGGCAUAACUAAUCAUUUAGAGGAGACCAUCUGCACGGUUCCCGUCACGAUCCUCUCCACUGACAGAAAUGUGAUAACAUUUACACCUGACCAGAGCACGAGCCAGCUGCUGAACCCAGGGUGACACGUACAGACCUGGUUCAUGAAGUACUGUUAGAUCAUUCUGAGGGAUUCAGUAAAAGAAUAGCUAUUAUAAGUGAAAAAGAUGACUUUAAUAAACGAGUACACUAAAGGUCUGUCGUCCUCCUGAGCUGUGGAGUGUGACAAUGGUGUUUGUAUCCUGUGUUGUCAAACGCCAUUAUCACACUAAAUAGCCACGGUGAGACCUCACAACCACCUCAGCCAGUCAGCUCAGAGAAACAUGAUCAUGAUGAUGGAUUCUACUGUGGGAAUAUGAAACUGAAUAUGUGUGUGUGUGUGUUGGAUUAAUUUUUAAAAGAUGUUGAUAAAUUGGCAUCUGACAAAUAGAUCAUAAUAGAUCAUGUUUGCUAUAUGUGUGCACUGACCCAGUUGCCAGACAGUGUGUGUGUGUCAUGGUAUUUCUUGUUCUUUAUUAGUAUGGUAUCUUCAUGACAAUAAAAAAUAAGGAUGCAUUAAAUUGAUCAAAA